ACGCACGCCAAUAAUGAAUUCACAAAUUGUUUCCGUUUUGAUUGAAUAUCUCUUUUUGUGGAUAUCUCUUUUUCAAAAAAUUAUCGUUCGU
ensembl:ncRNA F27D4.11 ncRNA